AUACAGAGGGUGCGAGCGUUAAUCGGAAUUACUGGGCGUAAAGCGCGCGUAGGCGGCUUAUUAAGUCAGAUGUGAAAUCCCCGGGCUCAACCUGGGAACUGCAUCUGAUACUGGUAAGCUAGAGUUUUGGAGAGGGAAGUAGAAUUUCAGGUGUAGCGGUGAAAUGCAUAGAGAUCUGAAGGAAUACCAGUGGCGAAGGCGACUUCCUGUCCAAAAACUGACGCUGAGGUGCGAAAGCGUGGGUAACAAACGGGAUUAGAUACCCUAGUAGUCC
rnacentral:rRNA from 1 species